AUGCCUUAGUACGGCGAGUGAGCGGCAAAGCUCAAUUUGAAAUCUGGUACCUUCGGUGCCCGAGUUGUAAUUUGGAGAGGGCAACUUUGGGGCCGUUCCUUGUCUAUGUUCCUUGGAACAGGACGUCAUAGAGGGUGAGAAUCCCGUGUGGCGAGGAGUGCGGUUCUUUGUAAAGUGCCUUCGAAGAGUCGAGUUGUUUGGGAAUGCAGCUCUAAGUGGGUGGUAAAUUCCAUCUAAAGCUAAAUAUUGGCGAGAGACCGAUAGCGAACAAGUACAGUGAUGGAAAGAUGAAAAGAACUUUGAAAAGAGAGUGAAAAAGUACGUGAAAUUGUUGAAAGGGAAGGGCAUUUGA
rnacentral:rRNA from 1 species